AGAGUUUGAUCCUGGCUCAGGAUGAACGCUAGCUACAGGCUUAACACAUGCAAGUCGAGGGGCAGCAUGGCCUAUCUUUCGGGAUGGGCCGAUGGCGACCGGCGCACGGGUGAGUAACGCGUAUCCAACCUUCCCUUUACUGGGGUCCAGCCCGUCGAAAGGCGGAUUAAUCCCCCAUGUUCUCCGUCCCGGACAUCUGUGUCGGAGCAAAGAUUUAUCGGUAAAGGAUGGGGAUGCGUCCGAUUAGCUUGUUGGCGGGGUAACGGCCCACCAAGGCAUCGAUCGGUAGGGGUUCUGAGAGGAAGGUCCCCCACACUGGAACUGAGACACGGUCCAGACUCCUACGGGAGGCAGCAGUGAGGAAUAUUGGUCAAUGGCCGUAAGGCUGAACCAGCCAAGUAGCGUGAGGGAAGACUGCCCUAUGGGUUGUAAACCUCUUUUAUGCGGGGAUAAAGGUGUCCACGUGUGGAUGUUUGCAGGUACCGCAUGAAUAAGGACCGGCUAAUUCCGUGCCAGCAGCCGCGGUAAUACGGAAGGUCCGGGCGUUAUCCGGAUUUAUUGGGUUUAAAGGGAGCGUAGGCCGGUCUUUAAGCGUGCCGUGAAAUUUUGUGGCUCAACCAUGAGAGUGCGGCGCGAACUGGAGACCUUGAGUGCGCGGAAGGCAGGCGGAAUUCGUGGUGUAGCGGUGAAAUGCUUAGAUAUCACGAAGAACCCCGAUUGCGAAGGCAGCCUGCCGCAGCGUUACUGACGCUGAAGCUCGAAAGCGCGGGUAUCGAACAGGAUUAGAUACCCUGGUAGUCCGCGCGGUAAACGAUGGAUGCCCGCUGUCCGGCGAUAUACAGUCGGCGGCCAAGCGAAAGCGUUAAGCAUCCCACCUGGGGAGUACGCCGGCAACGGUGAAACUCAAAGGAAUUGACGGGGGCCCGCACAAGCGGAGGAACAUGUGGUUUAAUUCGAUGAUACGCGAGGAACCUUACCCGGGCUUGAAUUGCAGAGGAAAGAUCCAGAGAUGGUGAUGCCCUUCGGGGCCUCUGUGAAGGUGCUGCAUGGUUGUCGUCAGCUCGUGCCGUGAGGUGUCGGCUUAAGUGCCAUAACGAGCGCAACCCCUUUCCCUAGUUGCCAUCGGUUUUAGCCGGGCACUCUGGGGACACUGCCUCCGCAAGGAGUGAGGAAGGUGGGGAUGACGUCAAAUCAGCACGGCCCUUACGUCCGGGGCUACACACGUGUUACAAUGGGUGAUACAGAGGGCCGGCCGCUGGCAACAUCGGUCCAAUCCUUAAAGUCAUCCUCAGUUCGGACUGGGGUCUGCAACCCGACCCCACGAAGCUGGAUUCGCUAGUAAUCGCGCAUCAGCCAUGGCGCGGUGAAUACGUUCCCGGGCCUUGCACUCACCGCCCGUCA
rnacentral:rRNA from 1 species